AAAAAAAUGCACUCACUUUAUGUACAUUAAUUAGUGUAGAUAUACAGUGGGUAUUUGCACAAAGGAACCCAACAAAGUCACAGUGUAAUAAAUCUAUUCACAUGCUGCCUGGCAACAAGCUGUUCCUGAGGGAUUAAAGAAGCAACAUAAAGGUCAAGCUGCUGCUAAAAAUACUAUACUGCAGAAGCUGCUAUUGACUUUAUAGGAAGUUCACUUAGAUUUGUUGUUGUUAUUGGUAUUAUAUAGUAACUAGUAACUAGUUACCUUAUUUAUCUAUCUUGAAAGCUGUUUGCAAUUCCUCCCAUUUAAAACAUCCAUAGCACCUGUUCGGCCAGGGUUAGUAUGCAUACGAUAUCUACGACUAGGAUAUCACAAAAGAGGGGGACACACUGACACGGAAGGGUGAUGAAACUACAGAACUGACAACAGACAGGAGUCAAGACUAUGCAUCCCUCUAAUUCUCCCACCCACUCCCUUCCGCUUCCUCCACAGGAAGCAGCAUCGCCACUCGCCCUCUGCAGUAAAUGAUUAAAUAUGGGGUGGAGACUUUAAAAAUAGAAGCUACACACACCGGCCAGGAGCCAAGGAAACGGAACGCAUAGCAGAACGUUGGCUUUCCUAAGAAGUGCAUGCUCAUGUUCAAUUUAAUUUUACCACUGUAUAAACAAUCUGUUUUCCCAGCCUUUUUGACCUUUGCGCUCACUGUUCCAGGGAACUUAGCACUUCAUGGUGUGGCUCUGUUAUCAACACAGCUGUAAUUUCUAAACCCUCAGCUGCACUGGCCAGGCAUGAGUGGACACAGGAAAGGGAGAGCUGCGUCACAGGAGGGCUGGAGUCCACUAACUGACAUAUGCAGAGACACUGUGACGCCAGCAGCUACUACAGAGCUCUUACAAUUGGAGGGGGGCACAAGAGGCGUAACUGGUUGUAAAAGAAAUGAACAAGGCUAAGUGUUUUCUGUUUUACUGCACUAUUGUUCAGCCCCUGGUUGUACUAGUGUUAUGAAAGCAGCACGAAUGGAAACCAGUAACUUCACAGCACUGAAGAAAUGUUAUUAAAUCAUACUUGGGCUUCUUU